rfam:Capsella rubella cultivar Monte Gargano unplaced genomic scaffold scaffold_7, whole genome shotgun sequence.
AAACCAAGGUGAGGGCAUUGCAUUUGGUACCUUUUAAAUCUUUCAAAGGCUUUACUAAAACUUUCGUUGUUCCGUUGAGUGAAUUCUGAAAUCUGAUUCCUCAACCU